UGAGUAACACGUAUGCAACCUGCCUGCCACAGCCGGAUAAUCGGGAGAAAUUCCGUCUAAUACGGCAUAAUGCAUCGACGGGACAUCCUGUUGGUGCCAAAGGUUAAUUCCGGUGGCGGAUGGGCAUGCGUCGCAUUAGUUAGUUGGCGGUGUAACGGACCACCAAGGCGACGAUGCGUAGGGGUUCUGAGAGGAAGGUCCCCCACACUGGUACUGAGACACGGACCAGACUCCUACGGGAGGCAGCAG
rnacentral:rRNA from 1 species